ACACAUCUUUUCAUUACCUUGUCAACAGCUGGCACAAAAUGUUAUGAGAGAAUCUCAGCUUCCCCCAAUCCUUGUAUACAAGCGCUCCUCAGCAUCUCUAUAAAAAGUCUCACAACACACUGUAGAAGUUACAGUUUUUUUUUAUAUUAUACCUUAGUAUUUUUACUCAUAUGUUUUCACUUUUAUGAAACAGUUAUUUAGGCUGUACAUAGACACAUAUAUUUAUUUGGAUUUGACAUCUUUUAGCAAUACACCAUGCUAUUGCCAUUGUGAAAUGAACUGAAUAGUUCACCCAGAAUUCAUAAAUCAUUGGAAGUGGCAAAAUGUUCUUCCUUAGCUAUGUAGCAGAUUUUUAUUUUGGCUAGCUUAUUUGAUUUAAUGUGGCAUAGUAUUACUCAUUCCUAGCUGCUAUUCCAAUCAGUAAGAAACAACAAGAACCCUUUGGGACAUUUGGGAGAUAGGAAAGUUAUAAAGCUAUUCAUUGUAGGUAUGUGACUGCAGUGUAGUUUUGCCUUCUAGUCAGUCUGCUGAUUAUUGGGCACGAAGAGUAGAACCCUUGAUGGAAGAAAAGGGAAUGAAACAGGAAUCCAGAGACAGAAGUCAUCAAAAUGGAGGCAAGAGAGCAGGACCUUCUGAGCUGGAUUCUUUGAGGCAGGUUGAAUAAGUGCUCAGGAGUGGACUAGAAAGAAAGCAAAGGGAAUGUAUCCCUUUAUAAACUUUUUCAAAUGGCUUCACAGUGAGGUGUAUCAUGGACAACUUUGGAGAAAAGAUCAACGCCCAAUUCACAACCUCAGGAAUUUCAUUAUGUGUAUGGUAAUGCUAAAUAAUCUGAUCCUGAGUGAAGAAUGGUAAAGCAUGUGGCACCUCAAAUGAGUAAUUUUUUUUGCAAUGAAUAAUGAAUAGUUACUAGUUUUUGUUUGGAUCUGAGGAGCCAAAGCUUCUACUUAUGUAUCUCUGACAGUGAGAGACUGAGCCCGGAUCUCCCACUUGAUGUUUAAGAGUGUAACAAAUCUUCAUGGUCUUCUCUUCUAAAAGAAAAUAAUAACUUGAGGCAUGUGUGGAUAAAAGGAUAUUGAAUCAUUGCUAAGUGAAUUUCUUUCUCUCAAAACUCCUUUGAUUGAAAACUUCUCUGUUCCACUGAUAAACAAUAAUUUUUCACAAAAAGUACUUUUAUUUCCUUCCUCUGCUCUGAAAAAUUGAAAGCCCAUAAAUGUUCAGUUGACACAAGACGUUCAUUUCAGAAAGACUGCAGAAUUAUAUUGUGAACACUUCUCCUCCCAUCAAAGCUCUCUGGGUAGCAACACCUUCCUACUGUUCACUGCUGCUUCCUGUCACUGGGAAGGUGUCUCGUACGUGUAUGGGGAGCGGUGUCAUCUGAAGCUCUGCUCACAGUAAACACCGUGCCUGCAUUUCUGAAUCAAAACACGGCCAUUUCUGAUUUCUCACUGAAUUUUGCAACAGAGACUAUGGGUUUAUACUUUCCUCUGUGGUAGAUAGAAAAGCACGUUGUUUUCUUGAAAUUUUGUCACAUGAAAAACAAUUUAACAGUUCUUAUUCCAUAAAUUGCUUCUGUUUUAUUUUUAUAAAUAAAGAAGAAAGCAAGGUAGAAAGCA
rnacentral:lncRNA from 1 species